rnacentral:rRNA from 1 species
GACGAACGCUGGCGGCGUGCUUAACACAUGCAAGUCGAACGGACAGGCCCUGCUUUUGUUGGUUUCUCGAUUGGCGCACGCGUGAGUAACACGUGAGUAUCCUCCCCUUGACUUUCGGAUAACUUCACGAAACUCGGGCUCAUACCGGAUAUAAUCUCCUGCUCCAUGUUGUUGGUUGGAGAGUUUCGGCGGUUGUGGAUGGACUCGCGGCUUCUCAGCUUGUUUGUCGGGUAGUUGCUUACCAAGGCUGUGACGGGUAGCCGGCCUGAGAGGGGUACCGGCCACAUGGGGACUGAGAGACGGAGCAGACUCCUACGGGAGGCAGAAGGGGGGAAUAUGGCACAAUGGGCGGAAGCGAGAGGCAGAAACGCCGCGAGCGGGAUGACGGCCUUCGGGGGGUAAACAGAUGUGGAAGGUGACGAAGAGUGAGUGACGGUAAUGGGUAAAGAAGCAACGGCUAACUACGUG